rnacentral:rRNA from 1 species
GCUUAAUGCCAUACCACCCUGAACACGCCCGAUCUCGUCUGAUCUCGGAAGCUAAGCAGGGUCGGGCCUGGUUAGUACUUGGAUGGGAGACUGAUAGGAUGGGGUGAAGGUC